AGGACGAACGCUGGCGGCGUGCUUCACACAUGCAAGUCGAACGGGGCUCAUUCGGUGGUAACACCGGAGAAGGCCUAGUGGCGAACGGGUGCGUAACACGUGAAGAACCUGCCCCGAAGACUGGGAUAACAGCGGGAAACCGCUGCUAAUACCGGAUGACCCCACCAGGCCGCAUGGCCAGGUGAGGAAAUGGGCCUACCGCUUCGGGAGGGCUUCGCGGCCUAUCAGCUUGUUGGUGGGGUAACGGCCUACCAAGGCUACGACGGGUAGCUGGUCUGAGAGGACGACCAGCCACACUGGGACUGAGACACGGCCCAGACUCCUACGGGAGGCAGCAGUGGGGAAUCUUGCGCAAUGGGCGAAAGCCUGACGCAGCAACGCCGCGUGAGGGAUGAAGGUUUUCUGAAUUGUAAACCUCUUUCGACAGGGACGAUAAUGACGGUACCUGUAGAGAAGCACCGGCCAACUAUGCGCCAGCAGCCGCGGU
rnacentral:rRNA from 1 species